UCACUUGCCGUUUUUCGAUCAUCAGAUUUGAAACGACGACGUGAAAGUGAGUUUUUAUUUCCGUGCGUUUUACUGGAAUUGUGAAUGAUUUUAACUUUAUUCACUUACGUCCUAGAGAACGUGGCACGAUCUUAAAAGCAGCACCCACUCGACAUGACCAAAGAAACGUGUUCGCUUCGCCGUUUUCAUUCAUCAGAUUCGAAACGAAGACAUAUCAUCGCAUCGAAACGUAGAAGAACUGUAACGACCGGAGCGGAGCGAGUGAAAUGCAUCCGUUUGAGCGAAGCUGGACACAAAGUUAAAAAGAUCCAGCAGACACUUGGAGUCGGAAAGACGCAAAUUGACGAAACUUUAAAAAACAAGGCAUCGAUUCAACUCAUGAUGACAAGCCACCAUCCAACAAGGAAGCAAUGCAAAUGGCAACAAAAAUCCUUCAGGAUGCACAAGAAUUACCAGACAUUGGUGAUCAACGGGGCAGUUACUUGCAACUAGCAAGAAAACUGUAUGACACGCAGGCAAACAUUGUCAUAAACCAAAGAAUGCAUCCAACAAAACAAUCCAAACUACAAAUUUUUUUCCAAGACAGAAAAAAAUAAACAUUAAAAUAAUGUA